rnacentral:rRNA from 2 species
AGACCCGAAACCCGGUGAUCUAGCCAUGGGCAGGUUGAAGGUUGGGUAACACUAACUGGAGGACCGAACCGACUAAUGUUGAAAAAUUAGCGGAUGACCUGUGGCUGGGGGUGAAAGGCCAAUCAAACCGGGAGAUAGCUGGUUCUCCCCGAAAGCUAUUUAGGUAGCGCCUCGUGAAUUCAUCUCCGGGGGUAGAGCACUGUUUCGGCUAGGGGGCCAUCCCGGCUUACCAACCCGAUGCAAACUGCGAAUACCGGAGAAUGUUAUCACGGGAGACACACGGCGGGUGCUAACGUCCGUCGUGAAGAGGGAAACAACCCAGACCGCCAGCUAAGGUCCCAAAGUCAUGGUUAAGUGGGAAACGAUGUGGGAAGGCCCAGACAGCCAGGAUGUUGGCUUAGAAGCAGCCAUCAUUUAAAGAAAGCGUAAUAGCUCACUGGUCGAGUCGGCCUGCGCGGAAGAUGUAACGGGGCU